AGGUGGGAGGUGGGAGUGCGAGCAAUCUCCCUCGUCACCCUUCUCUCUCUUUCCCUGUCGCGAUGUGCCCUGAAAACUGCAGCGAUUCUCCCAGGAUGAGAAGUGCUGCUGCUCCAGAUCAGUCUGAUAUUAAUUAAUAAAGCCCUGAUUUCGGUAUAGUGUAUUGGCUGCCCACAGGGGCAGCCUCUGUGAGGAGAGGUCGGGGCUGCCCCGCGUCUGCUCCAGCCGCCUCCUCACAGACCCGCGGCCCAACCCGGUCGACCCCGUCAAGCAAGCUGGUGGCACCUCCGUGAAAACGCAUUGAAGAAAAGAGCAAAACGGCUCAGGGCAGAGAGAAGUGAGGAGAAAAGUGCGAGAAACAGCCCUGCAAGCACCCAGUUCCUCCUCAAACAGUUACCAGGAUGCAGUACGUGGAGUUUGGAAGAGAACUGAGCGUCAGUCUGGGUAUUACUGCUUGCCAGAGCUCCUCCUCUGGAGUCAUAUCAAGUGACUUUCCUCCUCACACAUGUCCCAGUGAAUACAACUGAAGCCUGCAGGAAAAAAUCUGCAGAUGGCUGACAUGAUAGAAGGACAACAACGACAACAACACAGCAACUCAUGAGAUUUUUAAAUGAUAUUCAGAGAUCAAGUUCUUCAUGUGAAUACGUGAGUUUAAUCUUUUUGUAUAAUUAAGGUGCAACUGCACACAUCAUGUUGAAUGUGGGACUUCUUGUUGCAGGGAGAAUUAUCAGCAACAUUUUUAUUUCUCCCUAAUGAAGCUUUUCUAAUGAAAUUUAAGACCGCCAAGGUUGCAAGAUAUUUGAAAUAGGAGCCCAUUUCAAACAUUUCAGCCAAAUAAUGGUGAUAAUAUUAGCGGGUUGUGGGAAUCAAGUCUCUGCACAGUAUUUUACAAGAAAAUAUGCUAAGGGGAGCGGGCUAAACAAAGCAAAGCAAAACAAAACGAUGUGUCCCAAACCAAAAAGAGUACACUACUUGUUAUUUAGCCAAAUGUUUUGACCUGUUGGUGGGGACGUAGAAGAGGCAUGAGAAUUGUCUGGAUAGUUUGACUCAAUAACUUUACAAUUUAAUUCUGCAUCGCACUGGAAGAUUUUUUUUUUUUGGAAGAGAUGCAAAUUAGACUAAUUAAAUCAAAUUAUUUGGUGCAGACUCAUUUUAAGUGAAUUUUCAAAAUAUAUUUUUAAAGGUUUUGGGAUGUUUCCAAAGCUACAAGCACUAAUUAUUUUCAGGGUAGCUAUACUCUUAAGUCUUUCUUAUUUAUACGCGUAACGUUUGAGGCCACACAAUGCCUUAAAUUCCAA